rnacentral:misc_RNA from 1 species
UACAGAGACUCCAAGCGUUAUUCGGAUUCACUGGGCGUAAAGGGUGCGCAGGCGGCCAAAUGUGUCAGAGGUGAAAUACUGCAGCUUAACUGUAGAACUGCCUUUGAAACUAUUUGGCUAGAGUAUCGGAGAGGUAAGCGGAAUUCCAGGUGUAGCAGUGAAAUGCGUAGAUAUCUGGAGGAACACCGAUGGCGAAGGCAGCUUACUGGACGAUUAUUGACGCUCAGGCACGAAGGCAUGGGGAGCGAAAGGG